rnacentral:rRNA from 1 species
AUGUGUGUACCGAAGAAAGAGGGUCUGGGAUUUAGAGACCUACACGGUUCUAACCUUGCUAUGUUAUCAAAAUAGCGUUGGCGACUUAUUCAGAAUCCGGACUCCUUAUGUGCAUGUGUGUUGAGUGCAGAGUAUUAUCUCGACGGGGACAUAUUGAAGGUCAGACCAAAGAAGUGAUUUUCCUAUACAUGACAGAGUAUUGUAGCAGGCAUCCAAACUUUUCAAAGGGCUUGCAUUUGGCGAGUGGCAUCAGAUUAA